rnacentral:rRNA from 1 species
UAUAUUUUUAUUUACUUUUUGUUUAUUGAAUUUAUUCAUUUUAUUUUUAGAAAAUAAUUAUUUGUUAUUGUAUUUAUUUGUGAAAUAAUUUUUUUUGUUAUAGUUUAUUUGUACUUUGAAGGAAUAUUGUUAUAUUUAAUUAUAUUUGUAUAAGUUGAUUUUAUUUAUUGUACCUUGUGUAUCAGGGUUUAUUUAAAAUAAAAUAUUUAUUAUAUUAUUCCCGAUUUCAGGAGAGCUAUAAAGAUAUAUUAGUUAAUGUUGAAUAAUUAUUAAUAAUAUUUUUAUAGUUGUGAAAUGUUAAUCGUUCUUGAAGAUAUCUGGUUUCUUGAGAAAUGAAUUUAAUUCAGGUAUAAUUACUUAAUGAUUGAUAUAUUUUUAAUUAUUAAUUUAUAUUGAGUUUAUGCUAAUACUUUGGGGGACAAGCUUUGGAGUAAAUGUUUUAAUAAAAAUGUUGUUUAAAAUAAGUAGAGUGGAUUUAGAAGUGAUUAUUAUUUUAAGGAUGUUAAAAUUUUACUUAUUUAUUUUUAUAUUUAUGUUGAUUUUUAAUUUUUUAUUGGGGAUUUUCAAUUAAUUUUAUAUUGAUUGAUAUUAUAAUAAAAUUAGUAUAAUUGUUGAUAAUUAUUACGUAUUAAUAUUCUGUUAAUAAUUUAUAAGGAAUUAGGCAAAAAAUUUUAUAUUCGCCUGUUUAACAAAAACAUCUCUUUUCGUUUAUUUGAAAAGUAUAACCUGCCCACUGAUUAAGAAUUAAAGGGCCGCGGUAAUUUGACCGUGCAAAGGUAGCAUAAUCAUUAGUCUCUUAAUUAGAGGCUGGAAUGAAUGGUUGGACGAGAUAUAAUCUGUCUUUUAUUUUAUUUUUGAACUUAAUUAUUAAGUGAGAAAGCUUAAAUAUAAUUAUGGGACGAGAAGACCCUAUAGAGUUUAAACAAUUAAAUUACUUGAUUUGUUUAGAUUAUUUUUUUGUAGUUUAAUUUUUUUUGUUGGGGUGAUGGGAAGAUAAGUGAAACUCUUUUUAUUGAUUAAUAUUUAUUUAUAGAAUUUUGAUCCAUUAUUAGUGAUUAUAAGACUAAAUUACCUUAGGGAUAACAGCGUAAUCUUUUUAGAGAGUUCAUAUCGACAAAAAGGGUUGCGACCUCGAUGUUGGAUUAAGAUAAACAUUAGGUGUAGAAGUUUAAUAUGUUGGGUCUGUUCGACCUUUAAAAUCUUACAUGAUCUGAGUUCAAACCGGCGUGAGCCAGGUUGGUUUCUAUCUAUAAUUUAAUAUAAUAUUUUAGUACGAAAGGACCAAAUAUUUAAAAUAAUUUUUUUAUUGAUGAAUUUUAUUAAUUU